rnacentral:tRNA from 1 species
UCCCUGAUGGUCCAGUGGCCAGCACUCCACACUCCCAAUGCAGGGGGCCUAGGUUCAAGCCUUGGUCAGGGAA